UCCUUGGUAGCUCAGUGGUAGAGCAGUUGGCUGUUAACCAAUUUGUCGCCGGUUCAAAUCCGGCCCGAGGAGCCA
rnacentral:tRNA from 1 species